rnacentral:rRNA from 1 species
AUUGAACGCUGGCGGAAUGCUUUACACAUGCAAGUCGAACGGUAGAGGGGGCAACCCCUUGAGAGUGGCGAACGGGUGAGUAAUAUAUCGGAACGUGCCCAGUCGUGGGGAUAACGUAGCGAAAGUUACGCUAAUACCGCAUACGAUCUACGGAUGAAAGCGGGGGAUCGCAAGACCUCGCGCGAUUGGAGCGGCCGAUAUCAGAUUAGGUAGUUGGUGAGGUAAAGGCUCACCAAGCCGACGAUCUGUAGCUGGUCUGAGAGGACGACCAGCCACACUGGGACUGAGACACGGCCCAGACUCCUACGGGAGGCAGCAAUGGGGAAUUUUUGGACAAUGGGCGCAAGCCUGAUCCAGCAAUGCCGCGUGCAGGAUGAAGGCCUCGGUU